rnacentral:rRNA from 1 species
CCUACGGGAGGCAGCAGUGAGGAAUAUUGGUCAAUGGGCUUACGCCUGAACCAGCCAAGUCGCGUGAGGGAAGACUGCCCUAUGGGUUGUAAACCUCUUUUGUCAGGGAGCAACGCCGGCUACGUGUAGCCGGACUGGGAGUACCUGAAGAAAAAGCAUCGGCUAACUCCGUGCCAGCAGCCGCGGUAAUACGGAGGAUGCGAGCGUUAUCCGGAUUUAUUGGGUUUAAAGGGUGCGUCGGCGGAAUGCCAAGUCAGCGGUAAAAGCGCGGGGCUCAACCCCGCGCCGCCGUUGAAACUGGCGUUCUUGAGUGGGCGAGAGGUAUGCGGAAUGCGUGGUGGAGCGGUGAAAUGCAUAGAU